GCCCUGGUGGUCUAGCGGUAUGAUUCUUCCUUAGGGUUACUUAAAAAUCAAGACACCAUCUUGGAAGAGGCCCCAGGUUCGAAUCCUGGCCAGGGCC
rnacentral:tRNA from 1 species